UUUUUGCGUUAUCUGUGUGCUUUUUGCUUUUCCAGCAGCAGGGAGAUGAAGGUGGGGUUUCACUGCAGAAUGUUUUUCAGCCUGUUUUCAGUACAUUCGUUACUCUCUAACUAUUUGACUUUCAUAAUCACCUGAGAACUAGGCUGUAGCCUGUCCUUUCCCAGGGGGUCACCUGGCCAAGGCUGAAGGUCAGUCCGUGAUCAUAGCACGACGAGGUCUUUCAGCAAAUGAUGAAAACAUUCCACUCUUAUUCGUUCCCAUUUUAAUCUGGAACAAUUCGUCUGAGUUCCAGAGAAGUUCUGCAGUGUGGCAGAGCAAAGAGUACUUUCUCCGUACAGAGAUUUUCUUGACACGUUACCUGCCGGGGUUUGUCACGGCUCGACCUGAGAUCCCACUCAUUUCCACUAGGCAGACUGAGGAAUGAGACUGUUACCUUUGCAGGCUUGCUGAUGCUUUGCUCUCCUCCCGCGAGUGGGGGAAUCACGGCGUAGCUGUAAACACGUGAAGCAUUUCAUGCUAACGGCUACGUGGCACACUUCUGUGCAUUUUCAGGAGCUGAGCAGCAGUGCAGAGCUGCUAACGUUCACUGAGGGAUUGUAAAAAGUGUUUGACAGUGCUUUUUUAGCCACAGCAGGGACUGAACGAGCUGCAUGGCUUCCCUGUCGUUUGCAAGGUGGAGCCCUGGAGAAGCGCUGCUGCAGGACUAGAUGUGAUUGCUGUACUGCUUGUGGCGUCUGGGAGGGUGUGCUUCUGAGACCCUGUCAGUUAAGGGUGAGAUAGCAUCCCCACUGUUCAGCCUCACUGAACGCAUCUUCCUGACUCAGCUCUGUUGCCCCUGCUUGCAGGACUGCAGGCUCUGCCCAGCCUGGGAGCCUCUGCACAGUGCAUCUGGGUGCAAAGUGGGCAAACCAUGCGUAUCUGGGGCAAAAUGCAGCAUCUUGCCAUUCACUCCCUGGGGGUAGGAAGCUCCUGGGCGGAACAUGUAGAGCAGCACUGCUUGGCUUCGCGAUAACUUGUUAGCAAGUAUUGGCCCUUUGAUGCCACUUCUUCCUUUUCUCAUGUCACCCUUUUGCAGACCUCCAAGCCUCUCCACGGCAAUCCGCACUCCCUAAUAGGAGCUGCUGCACAUCUUGGCAUGGAUGACAACAAAGUUCUCCCUCGCCUGGACUAAGUUGCUUCUGCCGUGACACAUCUUCAUUCUAGGAGGGCUAUACACUGCGACCUGCAGUGCAGUUACAUUUACGUUGACUCUGGUCAGUUACCCAGAGAUGGUGGCAAAAGUUGGUCGCUGGGGAAGAGCAGUCUGUCUGCCGCACCCAGGGACAGAUGAGAACCUCUUUGAGCCUUACCUGUGCAAAGUUAUGCCAGCUGACUUGGCCACAUGGGCUGCCCCAGAGGUGGGAAAUUAUGGGUUCUAUUCCAGAGCAUCAGAUGUCUUUGUUUUUGGGAUUGUGAUCUGGGAAGCUUUAGCGGCACAUCUGAGCUACCUAUACCUUUCCUCUUACCGAACAGCAAGGAGGUGAGGAUGGUAGGGGAAUUCUGAGAGGCAAUUCAGCUUCUUUAUAACUUAAGCACUGCUAGGCAUGGUUAGACCCGUUCUCUGUUUCUUCUUUUUCAUGUGUGAGAAGAAAAACCUCCCUCACCCCUAGAACAGAUGUUGCCAUUUGUCAGUAACUCAUUAUUUUCUCCAUAAUUCCAUAAACAGUUGGAGUGGAAAAUGUUCCAUUGUGCACUUAGCGUAGGCCCUGUAAUGCCAGUCAAGAGAUGCCCUUCUUAGCCAGAAAACUGUAUUUCACUUAUAAUCUUUUCUUCUCCUCUAUAUUUUACUAUAUGAUAUACUCAGGCUUCACGGGAACCUUCUCCCUUCCCGGCUCGUGCAUUUAGCCCAGUGCUCGGGGCAGGAGACCUAUCUGAUGGUCCUGUGGCUCUAAGUCCAUUGGUUUGUUGGCACCCUCACCCCUUUUUUCUCGUCACAGUGACUUUUCAGCCUGUUGGCUGAGUGCGGUGGCUGAGUACAGAUCUCAAUGCUAUUAAAUUCCUGCAAAGUUUUUUGGAAAUGGAUUCCAUCUGCGGAGGGAAGAAAUCAAUAAAUAAUUAUUUAUUUAGCCCUCAAUAAUAAAAGGCUGCAGUAUAAACUCCAGCACAUUGCUAAACACCCAACAGCUACACAAAACCUCUUCUUAAGGAGUUACUUAUUCCUACAAACUUCAAUUAACACAAAAAUUACUCUUCAAUAUGUAAUUAUUAUGCAAUGCAGUGUGAGCUAUUCUCUUUUUAUUGCUGGCAUGAUUGGGGUGGGGAUAAACUGUGCAUCCGGGCACCAGUUUUCAGAAAGCGAACACAACAUUUUUCCUGUUGUCUGGAUAAAUGAGAACAGGUUCUAAAAUUCACGGAGUUGGGAGAUUUCGGCUUUCCAAAGUUCUCCAGGCGAACCGAGCGCAUAAAAUCCUGCUGGAAUUACAACCGCACCAGCAGACUGGCAUAUUCUGCCGUACUUGAGGUGAUCACAAAGGAAAAAACAAACAAUCGGGUAAUAAUAUUCACUUGAAACUUUAUUUCACUUUAUUUUAUUUUCCUUCUUUUUAUACACAACCUUGUAACUGGAUGUUCAGUUUCACUGAUGAGUAAUUAGUAAUAUCCACAAGGGCUGCUUCUACCCAAGGGAAGGUUCACAGGCUUGAGAACAUCCAAGAGUGAUGUUUGAGCUGGAAUAGUUGUGUUGCUAAAGAUCUAAUGUAUAUGGGAAAAGGAGACUAGGAGUAAAGGGGAGACAGUUUCAUGCAAAUAUCCUCCUGUACUUCAGCAAGAACUGGGUAGGCUGUGUUAGAACCAUCCAGAGCAGUCCUUUGCGUCUAAUCAAGACCCAAAAGUCUUCUACACCACAUGCAAUGAAAGAAGGAUAAAUGGGCCAGCACAGAGCCACGCAUUACCACGUCGACUGCUUGGCUGACUGCUUGGAGUAGAGCAGGCUUACGGUCCCUCGGACACUGCUGUGCUGUCUCACAAAGUUCAGCGUUAGAGGAGGAGAGCGGCAAGUGUUGAGCUUUACUUCCACAUGCUUUGGUAUAGAUCUUCGUGGAGCGGGCCCAAGGUGGGGGGAGGUCUGUGCUGACCAACCUGCACAUCUCUAGAGCCUACGCGUACAUUGUAGAAUCAUAAAAUCAUAGAAUCAUUACGGUUGGAAAAGACCUAUAAGAUCAUCUAGUCCAUCAGCCCACCACCACCAUGCCCACAGAACCACAUCCCUCAGUGCCACAUCUGCAUGUUUCUGAACACCUUCGGGGACGGUGACAUCGCUAUCUCCCCUGGCAGCCUGUUCCAAUGCAUUCUUUCUUUCUGAGAAGACUUUUUUCCUGAUAUCCAACGUGAACCUCCCCUCCCUGGAGCAACUUCAGGCCAUUACCUCUCAUCCUGUCGCUGUUUACCUGGGAGAAGGGGCUGACCUCCACCUCGCUACAACCUCCUUUCAGGUAGCUGUAGAGAGGGAUACGGUCUCUCCUGAGCCUCCUCUUUUCCUGACUGAAUGAGCCCAGGAUAAAUUCAGCAUAAACAAACGCUUGGAUGAAGGAUUCUGAGGUAACGUGCCCAAAAUUUGUUCAAAAUUCCUGGUGGGAGGAGGAAAAGCAGAAGGGCAGUUGUUCAUGCACCAACAAUAUAAUAAUGUUAAUAGUUUACUAAUAUUUUACUGCCAGAGGCGUUGUUUUAGAACCAUACCUUUUGCUGCAUUUGCCUUCACCAAAUUCCCCCAGGCAUGGAGAUAUGCCCUCUGCUUCCUAAUAAGUUUAUAUUGUUUCUUUUCAGUCUAUGUACAAAUAAUGUGCAGAAGUAGAAAAACAGGCGCCUGCCUCCUUCACCUGCAGACUCACCAGUUUCUGCAGAGUGGGAAGAUACUACUUUUCGCUGGACAAACCCAACUUAGCCAGUACGUGAACAUGUCCAGAAGAGAUGUUCCUUUCUGAAGGCGCAGGGCCAGCCAGGUCACCCCAGCGGCAGGAUGCGGGUAUCACUUUUUCUCUCCUUUCUCCCAAGGAGAUCAGAGGCCAUCACGCUUGCAGCAGUCUCCGAUAGCACUGACACAGAGGACUACGACUGUCUACUUCAGGAGCGAUGCCUCAGACGAGGACUCUGCAGCCACACGUACAGCGUGGUUGCAGAGUCUGACCCUGAUCUCCAGCAGUGCGCUGCUGAUGUGUCGGACCUUCCUGAUCUCCCCCAGGUCCAUCUGCUAGAACGGGAUGCUGUUUAUUUCUCCAAGCGAGACAGAUGGGAGGAGAUGGUCAAUGAGUUUGAGAUGAAAAGAGGAAUAGAGAGGAGUCCAGGUCCUGUCAAGGAGACUGAAUGGUAUGGCGAUACUGGCAUUAGCUGGAACGAAAGAAAACAAACAUGGGAAAAGCAUGAAGCUGGACGUCUGCAAAUCCCAGCGUGACCAGAGCAGCCAGUAGAGGGCACGGGGAUCUCAUAACGCUCGGAGCAGCCUAGCCCCACAAUCCCUCGUGGGAUGGAAAAGUAACGGGGCGUGCUGCCUCCUGCCUCCUCCUGUUUUGCUCAGAAAUCAAUAGUGCAGCAGCAGUUGUUCAUCCCUGAGAAUAACACGGUAUCCGUUAACAAUGGUUAAUAUUGGUAGCAGAUCCUACCAACCUUUCGGUGAGCUGGUUAAUGAUGAUAUUAUUUCCAAACACUGUUCCAAACUAGUUCUCUGGGAAGGAGAAUGCAUUAGUGGCAGGCAGGAGCCUGCCAACUCCAUGAACUGCCUCUGUGAUCACGCUGCAAGGACUUUGCUUUUUCUAAGCACUAAUAUAAUUAAAAACCAUUUUAACACGUUUUUGAUGUUAGAGUACAUGGACUUUGGAAUAAAGCUGCGUGGCUUUGUUUACUGAAACACCACUGUGAUAACAAACAGUGUUUGUUUGUUUGUUUGCUUUCCAAAACUUACUGGAUUUGGAUGAAAAUAGGAAAAACAACAACGACAACAACAAAACAAACAAAAAACCCCCACAGAUUACCUUCUGCUGGAGCUACAGUUAUUCCACUUCCUUCCUCUCAGCUCUGUCACCAGGUGAAUUAAAGGCCUCCCUCGCUGCAUAGCAACGUAUUCCGUGUAAGCAAUGCUCAGCAACAACAAAAGCAUCCAUGCGCUAUUACCAGCAUUUCUAUCAAAAAUCCAAAGUACUGCAUCUUAGAGGCCUCUACAAAUAAAAUUAACUCUGUCCCAGCCAAAACCAUGACAUCUGUGACUGCGGAUGGAGUACGCUUCUGGCUGCUUGCGGCACGAUAGAAGGGAAAAAGCUGUUUGACGUAAGAUGGCAGCACUAGAAAAGAUCGAAAAGAUUUGACUGUCUAAACUUUGUCUUAGCAGCAGCAUGUGAGACAGAAGAAUUUCUGGCUGUUAGGUGUUACAGUAUCCGUGCUGGCGUCUAGCUUCAGUGGGCACAAGAUACCAAUAUCCAGGUGCAGUUUCUCUGGCAAGGUGUAUACGGUAUUUACCACCAGCUCUCAAUGAACAUCACACAGAUUUGCCCUAAUUUUAGUACCGCUGCCAAACAGGGUGUGCAUAUGGCAGUGCUACAGGCUCAGAUACAUCAGAUAUGGCUAUGUGGCCCUUCUCUAUGGAUCUAAUCGCAUUGCGCGUGGCAGGUUGGGUCGUACAACACUGUGCUACCAGUGAGGUAAAUGAGGCGUUCUGGGAGGAAAGAGACUGAGAGCACGUGAGAAAUAGGCAGGUCUGCAGACUGCUGGAAGUAUUUAAUUUCCUUUAAGAGGGGGAAAACGUAUUGUCCUUGUGUAUUGACACCUAUCGCUGGGGCUUCUUAUUUACAGUUUUGGUUUAUUUGCAAAGUACGUAUGGAGACUUCAGGGAGCUAAAAGGGAAAUACUCUGGCAGGUUUCCUUCAGCGAUUUUUUUCUGAUGUGCACUAUUGGCUGUGAGCGUACGACUCGGUCUACCUCUCCUAGAGUCGACUUCCAGCAGUGCUGUUCUGCUGCCAGAUGGUCAAAUGAAAUGAGAACAGAAUGGUUAAGCUCUGACUGAUAUGGACACUCAUGCCAAUUUGGUUUUGAACUUUUCCUUUGGAACUACAAUUUGGAAAUAAAUGGAAAGAGGUGAGAGCACACGAA